UUCAGCAGGUCCACAGAUUCAGCAACUGCACAGCCUAUUUCUCGCUCAAAAUGCUUUCUGAAACACGUUUCGGUGAACUAUUUUUGUAAAAUAUAUGAGCUCCAUCCAUGAGUCUGGCUUUGAAAUUCCGGAGAAGCCAGACCCAUGUGUGGCGUUCGUCCAAUCAGCUGCCGGUUUUCUUUUUUGGGUGACAAUACAGAUAAGCGCCACCGGCUGUUAUGGGGGACGUCUUACGUCUCGCGCACGUGCAGAACGUACGCUCAAGUCAGCGUCGCUACGGUGUGUUCCAAGGCACUUUUUUGACCGACUCUGGGGGGGCUUUUUCUGCCAAAGGUCGACAUUCGAGUUUGUGUGUCAGGAUCUUAAGAUGGUGUCCAACUUGGUAGGCAUAAACUAGCCGCUGUAUCUCGUAUCAUCUCUUCACAUGAUCAAAGAAAGACUUGACAUUGGACAACAUCAGAAAGUAUUCUAUGUAUUCUAUUCAAAAGUUAAAAAAAGAAAAGGUGGCAGUCUCAAUCACUCACAAGUCGCAUUGUUGGAGGGCCCGCUUUGUCAAUGGGGCCCCUAUCCUACGGGCCCCAGUGCAACCACACUGCCUGCAAUGUCUAUAUUUAUGCAACUGCAGAGAGGGAAAAUAUGGAGACGGUUAUAAACUGGCAGUGAGUGUUAAUGAGGAUUAUUAAUCUACAUGGUCAGAAAUAAUAGGGAGGUUGGGGCAUUAACACCCUUUCCCUGUCGGAAACAAACACGUCAAUGCGUACAUGCGCCUGGAAAUGAGUAAAAACUUAACGCAAAUAAGAAAAUAUAGAGCAAAUAAAGCACACAUGUAUGUAUUUAGCUGGACCUAAACAGUUAUGGCAACCUCACAGUUGUAAUACACUUUAAUGCACAAGGCUUCCUUCAAUAUUCUUCUAAUUAGAUGUAAGAAACAGAAAAUGAAAUGUAUUCAGGUUCAUAAUUGCGAGAAUCAGAAUUGGAGUUAACCAUGCUUAAAGCUUGUGUUUCUGGAUAGUUGGAUGGAAAUUGUGUUAACUUAUAGGCAAAGAAAAUAUAAAAAAAAACAUUAAAAUGAACUGUCAUUAAAAUAAUGCACCUGUUCUAAAACACAUUGAUUGGAAGUCCUCAUUUCCCUCUUCCAUUUCUUUUUUUCAGGUACGCUGCAAGAGAUACAAAGGGGCUUUGUGUGCAUAUAUAUAUAUAUAUAUAUAUAUAUAUAUAUAUAUAUAUAAUGUGUGUGUACAGUAUAUACAUACAGUACAUGGACAGUAUAUGGGGACAUUUUUGCCACUGCGUAAUGUGAGGUGUAGCUGCUGUAUGUAAUCUUUGUGUUGUAAUUUGUAAUGUUUUUUAGUUGUGUUUUGUUUUGGCGGCCAUGUCAUUAUGCGGACUCUUUCCCCUUCUUUCUCUAGAGACAUGGAAUUUGAAUUUUGUUUGUUGCUGCCCAACUCCGUGUGUUGGAUAUGUUUUGCAGUGUCUUUGUGUGUUCUGUUCUACCUGCUGUUUCAUUUGACCACUUUUUCAGUGUGACAGGAAUACAUGCACAUGGAAUAUGAAAUAAAAAUGUGAUAUAAAAUAA